rnacentral:misc_RNA from 1 species
CAUUAUCGUACAACCGAGGUGCAAGGGCUGUCGCUGACCUCCAAAGGUUGUGCACGCCCGAGCGCUCUCACACAAUCCAUCUCACACCCCUUUGAGCAUCACCGCGAGGGUCCCAGUGGCUGUAACGGCCCCAAGGUGGGAAUGCGAGGCGAUGUUUUCCCCAACGGAGUCCCGUGCUCGUGCGCCGAGUUCAAGACUGUCCCCUCCAGAAAACUUUGGUGUCCAUCGUCCCUCACAGCGUAGGCUGUGGUCGGAUUUGGAGUAAUCGGCCCUUGUCUAGCCAGGGAAGCAAUUCCGCAGCUAGCAGGACUCACCGAGUUGGUCUUAGGAGAUCAGGGCACGUCAUCUGUCGCGCGGGUGCGCCGUGUCCCUCGUAGACCUUUAUACCUCUCGUUUUCACACAAACGCGAGCUCCUCACAAAUGAAUCAGUGGGGUCCGCUUUGCCGAUCCUUGACGUGAUAAGAUGCUUGUACGUUUUGGAUUUGGCACUGUCCCUUGGAUGCCUGCUUCUAACCGUCCCAUGGACAAUGAUGGUGCUCCGGUCAACCGCCGUCUACGUUGGC